GACAACUAGGAUGUUGGCUUAGAAGCAGCCACUCAUUAAAAGAGUGCGUAAUAGCUCACUAGUCAAGAGAUCCUGCGCCGAAAAUGUCCGGGGCUCAAACUUACCACCGAAGCUACGGGUUCACACAAUAGUGUGAGCGGUAGAGGAGCGUCGUAAUCGGGCUGAAGUCGUACCGUAAGGAGCGGUGGACUGAUUACGAGUGAGAAUGUUGGCAUUAGUAGCGAGAUGUGGGUGAGAAUCCCACAGGCCGAAUAC
rnacentral:rRNA from 1 species